rnacentral:rRNA from 1 species
CCUACGGGGGGCAGCAGUGGGGAAUAUUGGACAAUGGGGGGAACCCUGAUCCAGCCAUGCCGCGUGUGUGAAGAAGGCCCUCGGGUUGUAAAGCACUUUCAGUGAGGAAGAACGCCUGGUGGUUAAUACCCAUCAGGAAAGACAUCACUCACAGAAGAAGCACCGGCUAACUCCGUGCCAGCAGCCGCGGUAAUACGGAGGGUGCGAGCGUUAAUCGGAAUUACUGGGCGUAAAGCGCGCGUAGGUGGCUUGAUAAGCCGGUUGUGAAAGCCCCGGGCUCAACCUGGGAACGGCAUCCGGAACUGUCAAGCUAGAGUGCACGAGAGGAAGGUAGAAUUCCCGGUGUAGCGGUGAAAUGCGUAGAGAUCGGGAGGAAUACCAGUGGCGAAGGCGGCCUUCUGGACUGACACUGACACUGAGGUGCGAAAGCGUGGGUAGCAAACAGGAUUAGAUACCCCUGUAGUC